rnacentral:rRNA from 1 species
UACGGAGGGUGCGAGCGUUGUCCGGAAUCACUGGGCGUAAAGGGCGCGUAGGCGGCGCGGGAAGUCAUCGGUGAAAGCUCAGGGCUCAACUCUGAGUCGGCCGGUGAUACUCUCGUGCUUGAGCACUGUAGAGGCAGGUGGAAUUCCGGGUGUAGCGGUGGAAUGCGUAGAGAUCCGGAAGAACACCGGUGGCGAAGGCGGCCUGCUGGGCAGUAGCUGACGCUGAUGCGCGAAAGCCAGGGGAGCAAACGGG